AGUGCAGCAUCUGGGAAAUUAUGAUCCAACCAGAGUGACACAAUUCCCCCCCAUGGAGCACUUUUGCAGCAAGACAUGUUAAAGUGUGAAGUCCUUUCCACCGCUGGUGUUUUCCUGCAGAGGCACAGCAAGUCAGCCCUGCUCAUCCCUCACCACCCAAUCCGUGGUUAAAAAAGUCCUAACUCUGGUUCACUGGGACUGUGGGCUAAACAUUAAGGUUAUCUGCUGUUUAUUCCUUUGUGAUGCUGACAGGUCUGAAUACCUCCUUUGAAAGCCCAGGAAUCUACAAUAAUGAAAUAAAUCUGAAGUCACAGCACAGCACUCCAGCCUAUGCAAACAGACAGAUUUAUGUCUGGAAGGAUGCAUUCUCCUUGAAGAUGUUUGUGCAACCUACUUAUCAGAAGAAAGAGAUUUCCUGAAGAUUUCCUUUAAUUAGCUGGGACAAGUCAUUAGUAAAACAUGCAACUAAAACCUUAAGCAUAUAAGCUAGCGUAGUUUGUUUAAAAAGCAGUAAUUAAAAAUAUAUCCUAAAAUUCAAGAAAGGUGUGACCAGCUCCAGUAACAGCUCUUUCUGUGGACAACAAUGGGAGUGUAGGAAGAGAAAAUUUAGCAGUCUGCCUGGAAAGAUAAUGAGAGGAAAUACAUGAUCCAUGCUAAUGUGUUUUUUGUCCCUCCCCUUCCCAAUUUCUGAAAGCCUCCAUUUAUUACUGCGGCAAUUAGGACUCAUCAUCACCGCCAAUUACAUUUUUUGCACUGAGUGAACGCAAGGUCAUUUCCAAAGAAUUCUUAAUCAGAAAAACUCAAAGUUUGGAAAGCAGUGAUUUCCCUGUGAGUAUUUCCUGGAGUAGUCAUGGCCUAGUUUGAUUUGAACACGAGCCACAAGGUCUCCUCCAGGGGAUCAUAGGAGGCAGGGGCUUCAUCCCUUGCUUGCCCACAAUGAAAAUUUUGUGUCUCUUGCCUUACCCACAAUGAGAAUUUGGGCCUCAUUCCUCUUUCCCCAGGGUCAAGCUCUCCCCUGCGGUUCUGCAGUGCCCGUACUGACUCAAAUGAAGCUCUGUAAUAAGAUUUAAAUUGUAAUGACUCAUCACGUUAACCUCUUUUUGCUGGUAUUCCACACAGUAGGUGUGCACAGAGUGCAGGGUCCUACUGCAAAAGAUCUCAGCAAGUUGGCAGUAGGUGAGUAUUAAAAUAUGAUAAAAAACCCCACAACAACCUACUAUGGAAGCUUCUCCCAAAAUCUUAGCAUGACCAGAGAUCCAAAAGGAUGAUUUGUGUGAGUGAGUGUCCUUAUUACAGCCAUUAUCAUCAGCUCCAGAUUUUCUCCCGAAUCCACCACAUCGAUCCAGAUCCUCAUUGGCUUUUAGUGGGACCAGCCUGUCUUCUUUAUACGGGCCUGUGGUGAACGGCUUCAAAGCACUAUUUCUCAAGAUUGUUUAAACAUUCAGCCAUGUGCACACUCACACAGAGAGCUGUUUUCUAAUAAUCCUUUCAUCAGCCUGAAGCUGAAACAACUUUCUUUCUUGCAAGGAUCUGUUAUUGAGAGUUUCUUAUUAGUAACUAGAUGCUGACAUUGAUUUCAUUAAAAAAUAAGCACAGUUCCACAGAGCUUUUGAUUUAUUUUUUUUAAUUGCAUAACAUGUAGAGUAUAAACACAAACUGCUUUGCUCAGAACUGUAUCUCUUUAAUUGCCUGAAUUAAAAGGAUUUCUGGAUCAGCAGUUUCUCUCAUUUUUGGUACACAUUGGUGGCAUGUUACCAAGGUACCUCUGAAACUGCUAAAUCUGGUUGGGGCUGAAAGCAAUGUGGAAAAAUUAUUUUUGCGUGCUUUGUAAAAAGUGUUCGAAACCAUUAUUUUACAGUUGCAAAGUACUGGCUAUUCUGUGCAGGAUCAGCUGUAGAUAAAUAUCUUUUCUUUUUUACAGUGAGGUAAAGGAAUAACUGUGUCUUGAGUUACCAUGUUACAUCCAGUGACUCUAAUAAACAAAUUUGGUUAAGUGCACCAAAAGGUAAACUGAU